rnacentral:rRNA from 1 species
AGAAUCAACGCUGGCGGCGUGCCUCAGACAUGCAAGUCGAACGCGAAAGUUUCCUUCGGGGAACGAGUAGAGUGGCGCACGGGUGAGUAACACGUAGGUAAUCUACCUUUGGAUGGGGAAUAACAACCGGAAACGGUUGCUAAUACCGCAUGAUGCAGCGGCACCUAAUGGUGACAGUUGUUAAAGCGGGGGAUCGAAAGACCUCGCGUCUGAAGAGGAGCCUGCGGCGGAUUAGCUAGUUGGUAGGUAACGGCUACCAAGGCUACGAUCCGUA